rnacentral:lncRNA from 10 species
UACACCAACUAGGACUUAGUUGGCAGUAUGAAGAAGCAAGAAAGAGGUGGCACCUUCUUUCUGUGUAUCCACAUGGUAAACGGCAAAUGAUCACCCUGAGGCCUGUUUCAUAAGGACAAGAAUUCUAUUAAUGAGAUCUUCACAGUCAUGAACUAAUUCCCUCCCAUGGAUCCCACCUCUCCAUACCAAUGCCUUGGAGUUGAGAGUUCCAAUGUAUGAAAUUUGGGGGAAAAAACCAUUCAGUCUAUAGCACAGCAAUAUAUGUUUGCUUUGUUUUAUUGUGAAUCAGGAAACUAAAAAUACAAAGAAUACGCAAUAGAGCCAAAGUCUGUAACAUACUGUUACAAAUAUACAUACUGUUUGUUUUGGUUUGGAGGCAUGUCUGAAGAUCACAUGGAAGGAAGGGUUAGCUCAGUCACGGUAGCUUGAAACCAAUAUUGCCUGCCUAUUUCUUCCUUCAUAGCCUGUGCAUGGGAGGUGAGUAUGUUUGUGGACAUUGUCAUUGAAUAUAGUUUAGGCCUUUAUUGAAUCCAGAGGCUUAAUUCUUUAAUGUAGUUUUCAUUUCCAGAGCCAGCAGAAUCUAAUUUAACCCAGUGAUUCUCAAAUGAGGCAACACUAGGCAAUGUCUGGAGGCAGUUUUUGAUGUCACAAUGGAAUGUGGUGCUACCGACAUCUAGUGGAUAGAGGCCGAGGAUGCCACUGAACAUCCUACAAUUCAGAGUGGUCCCUGCAACAGAUAAUUAUCUGGUCCCUAAUGUCAAUAAUGCCGAAGAUAAUAAGCCCUGUGUUGGAUGUUCAUAAAUAACCAAAUGAACAGUUCUAUUUAUUCUGCUUUAUUUAUGUCCUCCUGGUAACAGGGGAACAGGACACUGCAGGGGUUAAAUUUGCAAAUACACCAGU